CCUACGGGAGGCAGCAGUGAGGAAUAUUGGUCAAUGGGCGAGAGCCUGAACCAGCCAAGUCGCGUGAGGGAGUACUGCCCUAUGGGUUGUAAACCUCUUUUGUCGGGGAGCAAAAGCCGGACGUCUCCGUCUGUGAGCGUACCCGAACAACAAGCAUCCGCUAACUCCGUUCCGGCAGCCGCGGUCAUUCGGAGGAUGCGCUCGUUAUACGGUUUUAUGGGGUUAACAGGGUGCGCAGGCGGAUUUUUAAGUCAGUGGUCAAAUCGUGGGGCUCAACCCCAUCCAGCCGUUGAAACUGGGGAUCUAGAGUGGGCGAGAGGUAUGCGGAAUGCGUGGUGUAGCGGUGAAAUGCAUAGAUAUCACGCAGAACCCCGAUUGCGAAGGCAGCAUACCGGUGCACAACUGACGCUCAGGCACGAAAGCGUGGGUAUCGAACAGGAUUAGAUACCCUGGUAGUC
rnacentral:rRNA from 1 species